GAACCUUUUGAACUUUCUCAAGGUUGACCUCGGAUCAGGUAGGGAUACCCGCUGAACUUAAGCAUAUCAAUAAG
rnacentral:rRNA from 1 species